rnacentral:rRNA from 1 species
AUGCAGCAGCCACGUGAUGCAGCCGGCACCGGCGGCGGCGGCGGGGGCUUCUCCUGGGUGUUCGUCCCGGUGAUGUUCGUUUUGCUCACCUUCAACUCCAUCAUGGCGGUGUACCACUCCCAGGGCGACGCGGCGAUGGUCGCCUUCGUCGCUACCUCCUACGCUAACCUGAUUCUGCUCUUCUUCUGUCUCUGGCUCUACAAGAGGGCCACCCUCGGCUCCACCCGGAGGAAUCGGCUCAAAGCGUCCGUGUGGGUGCUGACCACGAUGCUCACCUUCGCCUUCGCCUACAUGGUCAUGGGCGUGGCCGGCCGCCUCACCCUCCCCGUGGCGCUGCUCGUUUGGUUCAUCGCGGCGGGCACCGGGAUGGGUGCCUUCUCGGCCUUCUUUGAGCAGGGCAGGUAUGAAGUGCCGUCCUGA